rnacentral:rRNA from 1 species
CGGCGAACGGUCGAGUAACACGUAACCGACCUGCCUUUGGGUCUGGGAUAGCCCUCCGAAAGGGGGAGUAAUACCGGAUGGUUUCACGAGAGUGCAUGCUUUUGUGAAUAAAGCUUUAUGUGCCCAUAGAGGGGGUUGCGGCCUAUCAGCUGGUUGGUGAGGUAACGGCUCACCAAGGCGACGACGGGUAGCUGGUCUGAGAGGAUGGUCAGCCGGAUUGGGACUGAGACACGGCCCAA